CAACAAAUGAGGCUUCCUGCAGUCACUAAGGAUCACGAUUCUAAAUAAAUCUGAGAAGCUCAGCAAUAGAGGUCGCCCCCUCCCCCGGGCGGAGUCCUUGAUAUCUGAAACAAGGCUUCACAUCAUCUGGCAUUAAACUAUGGGGCUGCUUGAAGGCAGAAUUUGUCUUAUUCUGAUGUAGGAUGACCAAAACAUCUGGAGAAACAAAUUGGGGUGAGCCCUCUCCAAGCGUGUUAAUAAAAUACUAGUUGUCAGCAUAAGACAGACAACAAGGCAAGACCCAGAAGCCACUUGCUCCACAUCUGCAGUUACAAGGCAGAACAAAUUUGCCAGAACCAAGCUACAGGUACUACUAUGAAUUUAGUGUGUAUUGGUAGUUGGUGAUAAACCCCCUGACUAAUCCAAAAUAUGUCUUUCCAAUUCGUUCUCAAAAGCCCAAACCAGUAAUAUAGAAAUGGCUGUUUUUCCAGGCAACAAAAUCCAGAAAUAGAGUUCCUCUGUUUCAGCCCGAGGCUACUGUAUAGGAGGCAGAAAUGUUUGUUAUUAGAUUCUAAAAUAGUAACAAUACAUCCACGGUGGCACAAUUCCCAAAUCUGAUGGAAGGUCGGAGCUCUCUGGGCUUAUAGUGAUGAAUUAAGUUCACAUGAGCUAAGCAGAUUCAAUAAAUCAUAAGAAGAUUCUAUUGACUAUACUGUGAAUAAAGCUUGAGCCAGAAGCC
rnacentral:lncRNA from 1 species